GCCUGAUGUCCAAAAAGAAACACCAUGUGGGUUGAGGUUUCUACAUAUUGUUCUGACAAGGUGGAGAGAAGCAUGACUUAGUGCAUUCCAUGUAAAUGAACAAGAUCGCAUCCAAGAAAAUACCAAACUCUAUCAUCAAUUUCUACUUCCAACUGGAACAACCUACAAGGUCCUGAACUUUGACUAGCCAGCUCAAUUGAAAAGAGGUAACAAUACAGAGGACACUUCAGGCUCUACCUCCUGCCUAACUCGGAUAUAGCUGGAAUCCCACUCCUAUUCAGCAAUAUGGGAAGGACAAGGGGUACAAUCAUCUGCUUUCAUCCAGGAACAGUGGAAAUGAGAAAGAGGGCCAGGCUGUGCUCAGGAGUAACGGC